rnacentral:lncRNA from 1 species
GGGUUGGUCUUGAUCUAGAGGGUUUUAGGAUACACCUAGAAGAAUCUAACACCACUGAAAUGAGUGGCCAGGAAGCAGUUGGAAGGAAUCUUAAAUAGGUCACUGCUUUCUGAGCAGGUAAAUUGUACUAGGCCCCGAAGAUGCUAGAAAUCCGCAAGAACAUUGGAGACUACUGGAAGCUCCGGGAACCAGGAAACAAGCCAGUUAAUGAAAAAUUUCUUCAGCCGGGAGCACACCCAAGACGGCCGAAUAGGAACACCUCCAGCCUCCAGCUUCCAGCAUGAGUGACACAGAAGACGGGUGAUUUCUGCAUUUUCAACUGAGGUACUGGGUUCAUCUCCCUGGGGAGUUCCAGACAAUUGGUGCUGGUCAGCUGCUGCAGCCCGACCAGCGAGAGCUGAAGCAGGGUGAGGCAUUGCCGCACCUGGGAAGAACAAGGGGGAAGCAAAACCCUUUUCCUAGCCAAGGGAAACUGAGACACACAACAUCUGGAAAAUCGGGUAACUCCCACCCUAAUACUGUGCUUUACCAAGGGUCAUAGCAAAUGGCACACCAGGAGAUUAUAUCCCAC